CCUACGGGAGUCAGCAGUGAGGAAUAUUGGUCCAUGGACGAGAGUCUGAACCAGCCAAGUAGCGUGAAGGAUGACUGCCCUAUGGGUUGUAAACUUCUUUUAUAUGGGAAUAAAAUGUUCCACGUGUGGGAUUUUGUAUGUACCAUAUGAAUAAGGAUCGGCUAACUCCGUGCCAGCAGCCGCGGUACUACGGAGGAUCCGAGCGUUAUCCGGAUUUAUUGGGUUUAAAGGGAGCGUAGGUGGAUUGUUAAGUCAGUUGUGAAAGUUUGCGGCUCAACCGUAAAAUUGCAGUUGAAACUGGCAGUCUUGAGUACAGUAGAGGUGGGCGGAAUGCGUGGUGUAGCGGUGAAAUGCUUAGAUAUCACGAAGAACUCCGAUUGCGAAGGCAGUUCACUGGACUGCAACUGACACUGAGGCUCGAAAGUGUGGGUAUCAAACAGGAUUAGAUACCCGGGUAGUC
rnacentral:rRNA from 1 species